GACGAACGCUGGCGGCGUGCUUAACACAUGCAAGUCGAACGGAAGGGCCCUGCUUUUGUGGGGUGCUCGAUUGGCGAACGGGUGAGUAACACGUGAGUAACCUGCCCUUGACUUUGGGAUAACUUCAGGAAACUGGGGCUAAUACCGGAUAGGAGCUCCUGCUGCAUGGUGGUGGUUGGAAAGUUUCGGCGGUUGGGGAUGGACUCGCGGCUUAUCAGCUUGUUGGUGGGGUAGUGGCUUACCAAGGCUUUGACGGGUAGCCGGCCUGAGAGGGUUACCGGCCACAUUGGGACUGAGAUACGGCCCAGACUCGUACGGGAGGCAGCAGUGGGGAGUAUUGCACAAUGGGCGGAAGCCUGAUGCAGCAACGCCGCGUGCGGGAUGACGGCCUUCGGGUUGUAAACCGCUUUCGCCUGUGACGAAGCGUGCGUGACGGUAAUGGGUAAAGAAGCACCGGCUAACUACGUG
rnacentral:rRNA from 1 species